rnacentral:rRNA from 1 species
CCUACGGGAGGCAGCAGUAGGGAAUAUUGCUCAAUGGGGGAAACCCUGAAGCAGCAACGCCGCGUGGAGGAUGAAGGUUUUCGGAUUGUAAACUUCUUUUGUUAGAGAAGAUAAGGACGGUAUCUAUCGUAUAUUCACCAGCUAACACCGUGCCAGCAGCGCCGGUAAUACGGAGGGUGCAAGAGUUAUUCGGAGUCACUGGGCGUUAGGAGCGCGUAGACGGGAUAGCAAGUCAGAUGUGAAAUCCUACGGCGUAACCGUAGAACUGCAUUUGAAACUGUUAUUCUUGAGUAUCGGAGAGGUAAGUGGAAUUCUUGGUGUAGCGGUGAAAUGCGUAGAGAUCAAGAAGAAUACCCAUGGCGAAGGCGGACUACUAGA